UACCCGCAGCACAAGUGGUGGUCAUUAUUAUUGGGCCUAAAGCGUCCGUAGCUGGCUUGUUAGAUGCCUGGGUAAAUCGAUGCGCUCAACGUAUCCAAUUCCGGGUAGACCGGCAAGCUCGAGACCGGGAGAGGUGUAGGCUACUCGAGGGGUAGGGGUAAAAUCCUGUAAUCCUUCGGGGAGGACCAGUGGCGAAGGCGCUACACUAGAACGGCUCUGACAGUGAGGGACGAAGCCCUGGGGCGCAAACCGG
rnacentral:rRNA from 1 species